GACGAACGCUGGCGGCGUGCCUAAUACAUGCAAGUCGAACGCUUUGAUUUUCACCGGAGCUUGCUCCACCGAAAAUCAAAGAGUGGCGGACGGGUGAGUAACACGUGGGCAACCUGCCCAACAGAGGGGGAUAACACUUGGAAACAGGUGCUAAUACCGCAUAAUUUGUUUUUCCGCAUGGAAGAAUAAUAAAAGACGCUUCGGUGCCACUGUUGGAUGGGCCCGCGCUGCAUUAGUUAGUUGGUGGGGUAACGGCCUACCAAGACCAUGAUGCAUAGCCGACCUGAGAGGGUGAUCGGCCACACUGGGACUGAGACACGGCCCAGACUCCUACGGGAGGCAGCAGUAGGGAAUCUUCGGCAAUGGACGAAAGUCUGACCGAGCAACGCCGCGUGAGUGAAGAAGGUUUUCGGAUCGUAAAACUCUGUUGUUAGAGAAGAACAAGUGAGAGAGUUACUGUUCUCACCUUGACGGUAUCUAACCAGAAAGCCACGGCUAACUACGUGCCAGCAGCCGCGGUAAUACGUAGGUGGCAAGCGUUGUCCGGAUUUAUUGGGCGUAAAGCGAGCGCAGGCGGUUUCUUAAGUCUGAUGUGAAAGCCCUCGGCUCAACCGAGGAAGGUCAUUGGAAACUGGGGAACUUGAGUGCAGAAGAGGAGAGUGGAAUUCCAUGUGUAGCGGUGAAAUGCGUAGAUAUAUGGAGGAACACCAGUGGCGAAGGCGACUCUCUGGUCUGUAACUGACGCUGAGGCUCGAAAGCGUGGGGAGCAAACAGG
rnacentral:rRNA from 1 species